GAAUGUAUGAAAUUAAUACUGGCAAUUUUAAGAAGCAGGUAAUAAUCAGUUGCAUAUAAUAUAAUAUAAUUUAAAGACUAAUUCGGUGAAUCCAUUGUGCUGUAUUUAGCUAAAAAAUACUGGACUGACUGGACUAUACCUGACUCUUCCACAGUCCCUCGUUAUAUUUUAGUACGGGAGAAUAUGCCCGUUCGCGGGUUAGGCGUUGACAGCACACGUCGGAAAUGCGAGGGACUGUGGAAUCGUGUGUCGAAAAGUUGGCAGAAUAGUCGAAAACUCGGCAAUCGGGCAAAAUUGACAUUUUUCUCAAAUAUGAAUGAAUUUUUGGACGAAAGCGGGACGAUGCAGGCUUUAGAAAACUCUUGGAUGGAUUUAGUGUGACCCUAACCCCGAA